rnacentral:lncRNA from 1 species
AGAUAUCGUCACGACUUUUCGCGGUUCUAUCAAUUGCUCGACAGUAAUUUGUUCACCCACUGUCUACUUGCUUUCAUGAGAGAAGCCACUAGUAAACACUACAGCCCCUGGGUCUAUUCACAUCCAUCGUUUACACCUCCGCUUUUACUUUGCUUUGUUACUUUGUUGCUUUCUGUUCUCACUUGGCAAACAAUCUAUAAGGGAUUGACAACGCCUUCAUAGCGUUGGGAGGAAGCUUUUGUGUUUGUGCAGGAUCUUGAGAUACUCCACCACCGGAUUGAUACCUUGGUUCUCAAACUGAGGGAAAUACUUACCGUCGUUGUGCUACAUCGCCCUUUCCGCUUCAAGGGAACACCAAUGCAAGGAUCCAAGGCCACGGGGGAAAUCCUUUGCAUACUUGCCUAGGAAGUCCCUUAAGGCAUAGCCGCAGCUGAAGGAUUCCUGGUGCCGUCGACACACCUGUUUCUGGCGCCAUUGGAAGGACUUUUGUGCAUUAGCAUAGCUGACAUCAGAAGCAUUUCUGGCGCCAUUGCCGGGGAGGAGAGAUCAAGAUCUAUCCAAGUAAGUCUCACAAACUCUUCUCUUGCAUUUACUUUUGUUGCCAGUUGCCUCUCGUUUUCCUCUCCCCCACUUCACAUUUGUCGUUUUCAUUUGCCUUUCUCCUUUGCCGUUUUCUUUUGCCUUUGCCGUUUGCCUUUGCUGGUUUUCUUGCUCGCUUGUGUGCCAUGUGCCUUCAAUAUGCUUGCAUCUUCGUUUGUUAACCUCUUGAAGAGACCCACUUGUGUGGAACGAAUUGCUAGUGAGUUGAGGACACUUGACUAUCUUUAUGGAGUUUUGCUUGAGAUACGUGAAUUUGAAAAUUGUGUGCAAGAAACUUCUGAAGUGAUUAAAGAGGGCUCCUUGGAUGAAAACCAUGAUUGCAAUGAUUUCACUAUAAAUCCUAUUAGUGACAAUCAUGCUAAAAAUAUGCAAAACCCUAAGCUUGGGGAUGCUAGUUUUGCUUUGUCCACUACUUGUUGCAAUAAUCAUGAUUGGGGUGAUGAUCUUUCUUAUGAUCUUGAAAAUUUGUUCAAACCAGAUGAUGAAUAUGAUAUUUGCAAUACUAUUGAAAGUGGGUUUGGAGACAUCAUGACUUUACUUGAAGAUAAUCCCACUAUUUUUGAAGAGCGUCAACUUUGCAUGCAUGUGGAUCAUGAAAAGAAUUUCCUAUGGGAUAGCUAUAUUGUUGAAUUUGAAUAUGAUCCCACAUGUAAUUGCUACGAGAGAGGAAAAUAUUUUGGUAGAAACCUUCAUGUUACCAAAUCACCUCUCGUGAUGUUGAAAUUGCUCUUGUCUCUUUAUUCUUCCUUGCAUAUGGCAACUAUUGGUUGUCUUGACUAUCUGUUUUCCUAUAAAAUGCCUAUGCAUAGGAAGUAUGUUAGACUUAUAUGUGAUUUUCACAUGCCUUAUGAUGCUCUCCUUGUGCUUCAAUUCUUAUCUUUUGUGAGAGCAUCAUUGAAUGCCUAGCUAAGGGCAUUAAAAAAAAGCGCUUGUAGGGAGGCAACCCAACGAAUUUAUCCUUUUUCUUUCUGUUUUGUGUUGUCCACACUUUCAUAAUUCUGUUAUGAUUGUGUUUUUGUGUUUCUAUUUGCGUUUGUGCCAAGCAAAACCGUUAUUAUUAGUCUUGGGGAUGAUCGUUUGGUCAUGCUGGAAAAGACAAAAUCUUUCUCCUCACGAAAAGUUUUUUUUUUUCUGUAAUAGCUUUUGAGUUGAUUCUUGUUGCUUCUGAUUGCUAUGCAAAUUCUUCAGACUGUCGUAUUUUUUCAGAAUUUUUGAAGUACCAGAGGUAUACGAAAUAUACAGAUUGCUACAGACUUGUCUGCUGUUAACAAAUUCUAUUUUUGUUGUGUUGGUUGCUUAUUUUGAUAAAACUAUGGAUAGUAUCGGGGGGUAUUAGCCAUGGAAGAUUGAAAGUAAAGUAGCCCAACAUCAGCACAAGUAGAAUUUAAAUUUGCUUCAGUACCUAAGGUAGUGGUGGUUUGCUUUCUUGUACUAAAGUUAUCACGAGUUUCUGUUUAAGUUUCGUGUUGUGAAGUUUUCAAGUUUUAGGUGAAGUUCUUAUGGACAAAGAGAUAAAGAGUGGCAAUAGCUCAAUCUUGGGGAUGCCCAAGGCACCCCAAGAGAUUCAAGGAUGCCGUAAAAGCCUAAGCUUGGGGUUGCCCCGGGAAGGCAUCCCCUCUCUCGUCUUCAAUCCAUCGGUAACGUUACUUGGGGCUAUAUUUUUAUUCACCACAUGUUAUGUGUUUUUGCUUGGAGCGUCUUGUAUCGUAGGAGUCUUUUAUUUUUGUUGUGUCACAAUCAUCCUUGCUGCACACCUAGAGAGAGAGACAUGCACACACCAUGAUUUUGUCGAGCUUCACUUAUAUCUUUUGGUAGACAAUUCAACUCACAUGUGCUUCACUUAUAUCUUUUGAGCUAGAUACUUUUGCUCUAUGUGCUUCACUUAUAUCUUUUAGAGCACAGCGGUGCGUGGCUUGGUAGUUGAUCUAUGCUUUGAAAGUAGUCUCAAAAGGGGUAGUUAUCUAAAGGGAUACGAAAACUUCCACAUUCAUGUGCAUUGAAUAGUUAGAGAAGUUUGAUUCAUCUCAAAUAGUUUUGAGUUGUGGUUAUGGUAAUAUUGAAAGUCAUGCUAGUAAGGUGUUGUGGAUCUAGAAAUACUUGUGCUGAAGUUAGUGAUUCCCGUAGCAUGCACGUAUGGUGAACCACUAUGUGAUGAAAUCUGAGCAUGAUUACUAUAUUGAUUGUUAUCCUUUGCGUGGCGGUUGGGAUCGCGCGAUGGUUUAUACCUAUCAAGCCUUCCCCUAGGAGUAUGCGUUGAAUGCUUUGUUUAGAUUACUAAUAAAACUUUUGCAACAAGUAUAUGAGUUCUUCAUGACUAAUGUCGAGUCCAUGGUUUAGAUGCACUUUCACCUUCCACCAUCACUAUCUUCUUAGUGCCGUGCAACUUUCGUCGGUGCACGAAACCCACCAUUAGCCUCCCUCAAAACAGCCACCAUACCUACCUAUUAUGGAUUUUUCAAAGUCAUUCUGAGAUAUAUUGCCAUGCAACUACCACCAUGACAUGUGCCACCACGUCUACAUUGCCAUUGCAUGAUCAUAAGAUAGCUAGCAUGAUGUUUCCAUUGAUGUCUAUGCCAUGCUAGAUCAUUGCCACGGUACACUACCGAAGGCAUUCCAUAUAGAGUCACAGUUGCUCUAAAUUUUGAGUUGAAAGUGUGAUGAUCAUCAUUAAUGGAGAAUUGUCCAAUGUAAGGAAAUAAAAGAGGCCAAAGAAGCCCACCAAAAAAAAGGAGGCCAAAGAGCCCACCUAAAAAAUAAAAAAUGAGAGAAAAAGAGAGAAGGGACAAUGCUACCACAUUUCCACACUUGUGCAUAUUAAGCACCAUGAUCUUCAUGAUUGAGAGUCUCUCGUUUUGUCACCACCAUAUAGCUAGUGGGAAAUUUUCAUUAUAUAACUUGGCUUGUAUAUUCCAAUGAUAGGCUUCCUCAAAAUUGCCUUAGGUCUUCGUGAGCAAGCAAGUUGGAUGCACACCCACUAGUUUUCUUUAAGAGCUUGCACAUACUCGUAGCUCUAGUGCAUCAUUUGUAUGGCAAUCCCUAUUCAUUCACAUUGAUAUCUAUUGAUGAGCAUCUCCACAGCUCAUUGAUAUGCCUAGUUAAUGUGACUAUCUUCUCCUUUUUUUUCUCGCAACCUCCACCACAUUCCACACCAUUUAUAGUUCUAUAACCCUGGCUCACGCUCAUGUAUUGCGUGAGAGUUGAAAAGGUUUGAGAAAGUAAAGGUGUGAAACAAUUACUUGGCCAAUACCAGGGUUGUGCAGGAUUUAAAUUAGUUGUGCAAUGAUGAUAGAGCAUAGCCAGACUAUAUCCUUUUGUAGGGAUGACUUUCUUUUGGCCUUGUUAUUUUGAAAGUUCGUGAUUACCUUGCUAGUUUGCUUGAAUUAUUAUUGUUUCCACGUCAAUAGCAAACUAUUGUUUUGAAUAUAAUGGAUCUGAACAUUCACGUCACAUAAGAGGAAUUUCAAAGGACACCUAUGCUAGGUAGCAUGAAAGCAUCAAAAAUUCAUUCUUUAUCACUUCCCUACUCGAGGACGAGCAGGAGUUAAGUUUGGGGAUGCUUGAUACGUCUCAAACGUAUCUAUAAUUUUUGAUGGUUUCACGCUGUUAUCUUGUCUUCUUUGGUUGUUUUAUGUACCUUUUAUAUCUUUUUUGGGACUAACUUAUUAAUUCAGUGCCAAGUGUCAGUUCCUGUUUUUCCUUGUUUUUGACUCUUUUCAGAUCUGAUUUUGGAACGGAGUCCAAACGGAAGAAAAACCCCGAAAUGAUUUUUUCCCGAACGGAAGAGGAUCAGGGGGCCUUUGGGCCAAGCCAAGUGGGCUCCAGGGAGCCCACAAGCCCCCACUCCGCCACCAGGGGGGAGGCGGCGGUGGGCAGGCUUGUGGCCUCCCUGGUCGCCCCCUGACCUAGAUCCUUGGCCUAUAUAUUCCCAAAUAUUCCGCAAAAAAUCGGGGGAGCCUCGAAAAUACUUUUCCGCCGCCGCAAGCUUACGUUUCUGCAAGAUCUCAUCUGGAGACCCUUCCCGGCGCCCUGCCGAAGGGGACUUUGGAGUUGGAGGGCUUCUUCAUCAUCAUCAUCGCCCCNNNNNNNNNNNNNNNNNNNNNNNNNNNNNNNNNNNNNNNNNNNNNNNNNNNNNNNNNNNNNNNNNNNNNNNNNNNNNNNNNNNNNNNNNNNNNNNNNNNNNNNNNNNNNNNNNNNNNNNNNNNNNNNNNNNNNNNNNNNNNNNNNNNNNNNNNNNNNNNNNNNNNNNNNNNNNNNNNNNNNNNNNNNNNNNNNNNNNNNNNNNNNNNNCUCUCUCUUGGAUCUUAAAUACAAAGUUCCCCAUGAUCUUCAUGGAGAUCUAUAUGAUGUAAUCUUCUUUGGCGGUUUGUUUGUCAAGAUCCGAUGAAUUGUCGAUUUGUGAUCAGGUUAUCUAUGAUAUAUAUUUGAGUCUUUGCUGAUUUCUUAUAUNCAUGAUUUGAUAUCCUUGUAAGUCUCUCCGAGACUUGGGUUUCUUUUGGCCAACUAGAUCUAUGAUUCUUGCAAUGGGAGAAGUGCUUGGUUUUGGGUUCUACCAUGUUGUGACCUUUCCGAGUGACAGUAGGGGCAGCAAGGCACAUAUCAAGUAGUUGCCAUCAAGGGUAAAAAGAUGGGGGGGGGUUCUAUCAUUGGUUUGAGAUUAUCCCUCUACAUCAUGUCAUCUUGCUUAAGGCGUUACUCUAUUCUUAUGGACUUAAUACACUAGAUGCAUGCUGGAUAGCGGUCGACGUGUGGAGUAAUAGUAGUAGAUGCAGAAAGUAUCGGUCUACUUGUUUUGGACGUGAUGCCUAUAGAUAUAAUCAUUGCAAAGAUAUCGUCACGACUUUGCGCGGUUCUAUCAAUUGCUCGACAGUAAUUUGUUCACCCACCGUCUACUUGCUUUCAUGAGAGAAGCCACUAGUAAACACUACGGCCCCCGGGUCUAUUCACAUUCAUCGUUUACACCUCCGCUUUUACUUUGCUUUGUUACUUUGUUGCUUUCAGUUCUCACUUGGCAAACAAUCUAUAAGGGAUUGAC